GCUGGAUGUGGUGGCGCAUGCCUGUAAUCCCAGCAGCUCAGGAGGCUGAGGCAGGAGGAUCUCGAGUUCAAAGCCAGCCUCAGCAAUAGCGAGACGCUAAGCAACUCAGUGAGACCCUGUCUCUA
rnacentral:sRNA from 1 species